GCACUGCUGAGGAGUCCCAUGGGUAGGACGAAACGGCCGUCCAGUUC
rnacentral:hammerhead_ribozyme from 1 species